rnacentral:rRNA from 1 species
GACGAACGCUGGCGGCGUGCUUAACACAUGCAAGUCGAACGAUGAAGCCGGAGCUUGCUCUGGUGAAUUAGUGGCGAACGGGUGAGUAACACGUGAGUAACCUGCCCUUGACUCUGGGAUAACUGCGGGAAACUGUAGCUAAUACCGGAUACGACCCUCGGAGGCAUCUCCUGGGGGUGGAAAGAAUUUCGGUCAAGGAUGGACUCGCGGCCUAUCAGCUAGUUGGUGAGGUAAAGGCUCACCAAGGCGACGACGGGUAGCCGGCCUGAGAGGGUGGCCGGCCACACUGGGACUGAGACACGGCCCAGACUCCUACGGGAGGCAGGAGUGGGGAAUAUUGCACAAUGGGCGCAAGCCUGAUGCAGCAACGCCGCGUGAGGGAUGGCGGCCUUCGGGUUGUAAACCUCUUUUAGUAGGGAAGAAGCGAAAGUGACGGUACCUGCAGGAAAAGCACCGGCUAACUACGUGCCAGCAGCCGCCGUAA